GAUGAACGCUGGCGGCGUGCCUAACACAUGCAAGUCGAGCGAACCCUUCGGGGUGAGCGGCGGACGGGUGAGUAAUGCGUGGGUAACCUGCCCUGUACACACGGAUAACAUACCGAAAGGUAUGCUAAUACGAGAUAAUAUAUUUUAAUCGCAUGGUUAAGAUAUCAAAGCUCCGGCGGUACAGGAUGGACCCGCGUCUGAUUAGCUAGUUGGUGAGGUAAUGGCUCACCAAGGCGACGAUCAGUAGCCGACCGGAGAGGGUGAUCGGCCACACUGGAGCUGAGACACAGUCCAGACUCCUACGGGAGGCAGCAGUGGGGAAUAUUGCACAAUGGGCGAAAGCCUGAUGCAGCAACGCCGCGUGAGCGAUGAAGGCCUUCGGGUCGUAAAGCUCUGUCCUCAAGGAAGAUAAUGACGGUACUUGAGGAGGAAGCCCCGGCUAACUACGUGCCAGCAGCCGCCGUAA
rnacentral:rRNA from 1 species